rnacentral:rRNA from 1 species
GCUUAACACAUGCAAGUCGAACGAUGAAGUCCGCUUCGGUGGUGGAUUAGUGGCGAACGGGUGAGUAACACGUGGGCAACCUGCCCUCAGCUCUGGGAUAACUCCGGGAAACCGGGGCUAAUACUGGAUAUGACUACUGGCCGCAUGGUCUGGUGGUGGAAAGUUUUUCGGCUGAGGAUGGGCCCGCGGCCUAUCAGCUUGUUGGUGGGGUGAUGGCCUACCCAAGGCGUCGACGGGUAGCCGGCCCUGAGAGGGCGACCGGCCACACUGGGACUGAGACACGGCCCAGACUCCUACGGGAGGCAGCAGUGGGGAAUAUUGCGCAAUGGGCGGAAGCCUGACGCAGCGACGCCGCGUGAGGGAUGACGGCCUUCGGGUUGUAAACCUCUUUCAGCGCAGACGAAGCGAGAGUGACGGUAUGCGCAGAAGAAGCACCGGCCAACUACGUG